UACGAAGGGGGCUAGCGUUGCUCGGAAUCACUGGGCGUAAAGAGCGCGUAGGCGGUCUUGUAAGUGUGAAGUGAAAUCUCCAGGGCUCAACCCGGAAACUGCUUUGCAUACUGCGAGACUUGAGGGAUGCAGAGGUUUGUGGAAUUCCUGGUGUAGCGGUGAAAUGCGUUGAUAUCAGGAGGAACACCCAUGGCGAAGGCAGCAAACUGGGCAUCAUCUGACGCUGAGGCGCGAAAGCGUGGGUAGCAAACAGG
rnacentral:rRNA from 1 species